AACCAACAGGGAUUGCCUCAGUAACGGCGAGUGAAGCGGCAAAAGCUCAAAUUUUAAAGCUGGCAUCUUCGGUGUCCGCGUUGUAAUUUUGUGAGGCAUCUCCGGGUAGGGCGCCGGCCUAAGUUCCUUGGAACAGGACGUCACAGAGGGUGAGAAUCCCGUGCUUGGCUGGCUGUCCCCGUCCAUGUGAGGUGUCUUCGACGAGUCGAGUUGUUUGGGAAUGCAGCUCAAAAUGGGUGGUAAAUUUCAUCUAAAGCUAAAUAUUGGUGGGAGACCGAUAGCGCACAAGUAGAGUGAUCGAAAGAUGAAAAGCACUUUGAAAAUAGAGUUAAAAAGUACGUGAAAUUGUUGAAAGGGAAGCGCUUGAGACCAGACUUCGGUAGGGGGUGAUCAGCCGUCCUUCUGGGCGGUGCACUUGCCCCCCUCCGGGCCAGCAUCGGUUGAGGCGGCGGGAUAAAUGUCCCGGGAAUGUGGCUCCUUCACGGGAGUGUUAUAGCCCGGGUGAAUGCCGCCAGUCUCGACCGAGGACCGCAUCCGCAAGGGUUAGGAUGCUUGGCAUAAUGGUCUUCAGCGA
rnacentral:rRNA from 1 species